UACGGAAGGCAGCAGUGGGGAAUAUUGCACAAUGGGCGAAAGCCUGAUGCAGCUAUGCCGCGUGUAUGAAGAAGGCCUUAGGGUUGUAAAGUACUUUCAUCGGGGAGGAAAAAACAAAACUAAUAAUUUUAUUUCUUGACGUUACCCGAAAAAGAAGCACCGGCUAACUCCGUGCCAGCAGCCGCGGUAAUACGGAGGGUGCUAGCGUUAAUCAGAAUUACUGGGCGUAAAGAGCACGUAGGUGGUUUUUUUAAGUCAGAUGUGAAUCCCUGGGCUUAACCUAGGAACUGCAUUUUGAAACUGAAAUACUAGAGUAUCGUAGAGGGAGGUAGAAUUCUAGGUGUAGCGGUGAAAUGCGUAGAUAUCUGGAGGAAUACCUGUGGCGAAAGCGGCCUCCUAAACGAAUACUGACACUGAGUGCGAAAGCGUGGGGAGCAAACGAGGGAUUAGAUACCCGU
rnacentral:rRNA from 1 species